rnacentral:rRNA from 1 species
CCUACGGGCGGCAGCAGUGGGGAAUAUUGCACAAUGGGGGAAACCCUGAUGCAGCGACGCCGCGUGAGUGAAGAAGUAAUUCGUUAUGUAAAGCUCUAUCAGCAGGGAAGAAAAUGACGGUACCUGAGUAAGAAGCCCCGGCUAACUACGUGCCAGCAGCCGCGGUAAUACGUAGGGGGCAAGCGUUAUCCGGAUUUACUGGGUGUAAAGGGAGCGUAGACGGCAGUGCAAGUCUGGAGUGAAAGGCGGGGGCUCAACCCCCGGACUGCUUUGGAAACUGUACGGCUGGAGUGCAGGAGAGGUAAGUGGAAUUCCUAGUGUAGCGGUAAAAUGCGUAGAGAUUAGGAGGAACAC